UAGGGAAUUUUGCGCAAUGGACGAAAGUCUGACGCAUCAACGCCGCGUGAGGGAUGAAGGUCUUCGGAUUGUAAACCUCUGUUGAAUGGGAAAAAAAGGUAGCAAUACUUUGAUGGUACCAUUUGAGGAAGCACCGGCUAACUACGUGCCAGCAGCCGCGGUAAUACGUAGGGUGCAAGCGUUGUUCGGAAUCACUGGGCGUAAAGGGAGCGUAGGCGGGAUCGUAAGUUAGGAGUUUAAUACAUGGGCUUAACCCGUGGCUGGCUUUUAAUACUGCGGUUCUUGAGUAUGGGAGAGGGCGAUGGAAUUCCAGGUGUAGCGGUGGAAUGCGUAGAUAUCUGGAAGAACACCAGUAGCGAAGGCGGUCGCCUGGCCCAAUACUGACGCUGAGGCUCGAAAGCUAGGGGAGCAAACAGG
rnacentral:rRNA from 2 species